rnacentral:rRNA from 1 species
UACGUAGGGGGCAAGCGUUGUCCGGAUUUAUUGGGCGUAAAGCGCUCGCAGGUGGUUCGUCGCGUCGUGCGUGAAAGACCCCGGCUCAACUGGGGGAGGUCGUGCGAUACGGGCGAACUGGAGGCCAGUAGGGGGAUGCGGAAUUCCGGGUGUAGUGGUGGAAUGCGUAGAGAUCCGGAGGAACACCAGCGGCGAAGGCGGCAUCCUGGACUGGUAUUGACGCUGAGGAGCGAAAGCCAGGGGAGCAAAGCGGG